UACGAAGGGUGCAAACGUUGCUCGGAAUUAUUGGGCGUAAAGCGCACGUAGGCGGCUCUGUAAGUCGGAUGUGAAAUCCCUCGGCUUAACCAAGGAAGUGCAUCCGAAACUGCAAGGCUUGAGUACUUAAGAGGAUCGCGGAAUUCCCGGUGUAGAGGUGAAAUUCGUAGAUAUCGGGAGGAACACCAGUGGCGAAGGCGGCGAUCUGGGAAGAUACUGACGCUGAGGUGCGAAAGCGUGGGGAGCGAACAGG
rnacentral:rRNA from 1 species